GAUGAACGCUGGCGGCGUGCCUAAUACAUGCAAGUCGAACGCAUUGAGAGAAGUGCUUGCACUUUUCAAUUUGAGUGGCGAACGGGUGAGUAACACGUGGGCAACCUACCUGAUAGCGGGGGAUAACGAGUGGAAACAUUCGCUAAUACCGCAUAACAAUAGAGAAGGCAUCUUCUUUAUUUAAAAGGCGCUUUCAAGCGUCACUAUCAGAUGGGCCCGCGGUGGAUUAGUUAGUUGGUGGGGUGACGGCCUACCAAGACGAUGAUGCAUAGCCGAGUUGGGAGACUGAUCGGCCACAUUGGGACUGAGACACGGCCCAGACUCCUACGGGAGGCUGCAGUAGGGAAUCUUCCACAAUGGACGAAAGUCUGAUGGAGCAACGCCGCGUGUGUGAUGAAGGCUUUCGGGUCGUAAAGCACUGUUGUAUGGGAAGAAAUGCUAGGCUAGGAAAUGAGCUUAGUUUGACGGUACCAUACCAGAAAGGGACGGCUAAAUACGUGCCAGCCGCCGCAGUAA
rnacentral:rRNA from 1 species